AUGGCCCAAGCCCUGCCCUGGCUCCUGCUGUGGAUGGGCGCGGGAGUGCUGCCUGCCCACGGCACCCAGCACGGCAUCCGGCUGCCCCUGCGCAGCGGCCUGGGGGGCGCCCCCCUGGGGCUGCGGCUGCCCCGGGAGACCGACGAAGAGCCCGAGGAGCCCGGCCGGAGGGGCAGCUUUGUGGAGAUGGUGGACAACCUGAGGGGCAAGUCGGGGCAGGGCUACUACGUGGAGAUGACCGUGGGCAGCCCCCCGCAGACGCUCAACAUCCUGGUGGAUACAGGCAGCAGUAACUUUGCAGUGGGUGCUGCCCCCCACCCCUUCCUGCAUCGCUACUACCAGAGGCAGCUGUCCAGCACAUACCGGGACCUCCGGAAGGCCUGACGACUCCCUGGAGCCUUUCUUCGACUCUCUGGUAAAGCAGACCCACGUUCCCAACCUCUUCUCCCUGCAGCUUUGUGGUGCUGGCUUCCCCCUCAACCAGUCUGAAGUGCUGGCCUCUGUCGGAGGGAGCAUG
rnacentral:sRNA from 1 species